UACGUAGGGGGCGAGCGUUGUCCGGAAUCAUUGGGCGUAAAGCGCGUGUAGGCGGCGCGGUAAGUCCGGUGUGAAAUCUUGGGGCUCAACCCCAAGCCUGCAUCGGAUACUGCCGUGCUCGAGUCCGGGAGAGGGAAGCGGAAUUCCUAGUGUAGCGGUGAAAUGCGCAGAUAUUAGGAAGAACACCGGUGGCGAAGGCGGCUUCCUGGAACGGUACUGACGCUGAGACGCGAAAGCGUGGGGAGCGAACAGG
rnacentral:rRNA from 1 species